rnacentral:lncRNA from 7 species
UUAUUCUCAUACAUCUACUAAAGUUACCUUGGCUUCUUGUUAAAUUUUAAUAAUCUAAUUUAUGACUGGAUAAACUAUAAAGCUAAACAGUUCAUACUGGUCAAGCCAUUACUUCAAGGUUUUGUUAUGUAGUAACUUGAAAAUGAUUGAAAUAAAAGCUUAAUUAGCUCCCUUAGAGCACUAGGUAUGUUAUGAGGUAGCUAGUCAUUAUUAAAAAGCUAUGUGAAGUUAUUGAACUUAAAGCUUCAUUAAAAAUUUGUGACAGGAGCUUAUGAAUCAAGGAAUCUUAAGUCCAUAUAGGUUGGCUUUGGAGCAGAGAACAAAGUCAGCUGUUCAGGAGUAGGACUGAAAUAGCAGCACAGCUCCACUGUCAGCUCCUCAUUAUCUGGGAUGAGGACUGGAAGACAAGAAAAAAGUUUGGAAAAAUCCAGGGUCACCUAGUGUACAAGAUGAUGCACAUGGUACAACUGAAAUACCAUCUCCAUGGUGAACCCUGGUGCAAUUUAUGCUGUUUGUAUCUAGGAAAACUAUCGGCUCAUUUGGUGACUCUCAGUUGGAAAUGCUGUGCCUCCAGGUGUAAAUAGCAGGAUCACAGUGGGGAGCUGCUGCUUGUUAAGUGAAGAUGAGGCUUGAAUGCAAACAGUAGGAGAGAGAUUCACAAUUUCUACUGAAAUUACCUUCAUCUUAUACUGCGGCAGGAGUAUAAGAAGUAAUGGGAUGGACCUGUCCAGCAGCGUGCUCCUUGAAUCCAAGGUUGAUAUACCUCAUUAGUAAGACUUGUUCUUCAGACCUAUUUGAAUGAAUGUAGCUCUCAUUUGCUUUCAUGGUGUGGUCUAAGUAGUAUCUCUAUAAUAUGCUUCAGUCUUGUGAUCUGACUGAUCUGACUGAGUGCAUUAGCAGUCAUAAUUAUCACAGCAGGAGCACCGACAUUACAGUUUGGCUCACCCAACCAAGAGUAAUCAGUCACUAAAAGUUUUUGUCAAUAGUGUUGUACCCCCCUGGUAAAUAUGUCCUAAAGACUGUUUCCAGUGUCUUUCUGUCUGUGCCUCCCCUUUCCCACCAACCUUUUCCUCUAAAGCAUUGUUUAAACCUCUUUUGUCUGAAAAAGAAAUCAAAGCAAAACCUGCUUCUUCAACACAAAGAAUACUUUUUUUUCUCUAAGAUCAAUAUCUGUAUUUUUUCUCAAGGUGCCCCUUGCAACUAACAAAUAUGUCCUUUAAGUUUUUGAAGGUAAAUAGUUAUUCUUUCCAUUUUAGAUUUACAGACAUAGUAGGGCCCAUAGGCAGUCCUUAUGUGCUGCGAUAGGAUCCUUCAUCCUUUAGCAUCUAAUGAAUUUUCUGAUAUAAACAGGAGUUACUUACACAUCUUGCUUAACUUAAUGUAACUGCCAUUUCAAGAACUGCCCAUUUUUUCCUCUAGUACCUUGAGUUUGGGAUUAAAACUAUCGCAAACGGCAGAGAACUUUCUUCAAUUAAUUUAAUUCUAGUAGGUGUCAGUAGUGCAGAUUCUUCUAAAAAUUAGUACACAAAGCCAGUGCUCAUAAUACCUGCCCAUGAGACAUUUUGAUUUUCUUAUUCCUCCCUGCACAUCUUUCCAGAAUCCUCUUACUUCACAAAUCUAAGUUGAAUCAACUGUAAUAGCUGUUUCAGUGUUCAAACUAAUGUUGUACCCCUCAAGUUCAUCUUCGUGAAGCAGUGAGCUGAAAAUAUUUUAAAUUAUUUUGUUUACCAAAGAGUUCUGCGGGCUUAUUAUUUUUUCCUGAUUUUUGUUUUGAUCUGUUUUGAUCUGUUUAAAUAUUCUUCCUCUUCCAUCUAGGAGAGGGGAAAAGCCAAAGAAAAAUCAGAUGUCAGGUGAUAAACUUAGCUUUUUAAGUUUAAAAUUGAAUAAGGUUUCAGGGUUGCUUGUCUCUUGGCAUAGCCAUUGAAAUAUUUCAAGACCUAUCUCAGUUGAUUUCAAGUUGGGUGUUUUGCCCUGAAGAGGAUUUUUGAGAUGCUCAGAAUGAGUGGAAAGCAAUGAGAAUGUUGACUUUUUCCCUUGAAAACUAAAUUUUGUUUUUCCUAUGCUGAUAAAUGAAAACUGUUGCUAAUUUUAGCCUCUAAAAAAAACAAUCUUGCUCCUAUAAAAUAUUAUUGUUUAUAAGCAUUGUCACACAUUGGAUUUAUUUGAAAACAUGACUCAUCUACACUUU